CUUCUCUAGAACUUUAUCCUUCAGACAUGUGUCUGGAUGGUGCCCACAAGACUCGACUGUGCACUCAAGCUCCUGGUGCCUGGAGAGGUGGCCUUUACCACUUAGCAGAUCUGGUUCUGGCAACAUGUGACAAGACCAGUGUGAGACUCAAGACAAGUUCUCUUUUUAAAGCAAAGAUCCUUACCGUUUGACUGGGAACACGCUCCCAUCUUUUAGGAUGAAUCACUGCUGAUGGUCAAGAGAACAAGCUGUGGGCUUUUACUGCUCUUCACAGGUGCCCCCUAUCCUUCAGGUCUCUGUGUCCUAGUCGGCGUGGGAACUCUGCGUUACGGGCCUCAUUAACCCACGGUAAGGACGCGGCCCAAGCAUAAUGUGAUGCAGCAGCUGGAGUCGGCUCUAAUGACCGUGGAGGAGCUGCAAACCAAGCGUCACUGAUUCUUUGCAGCUAAGAAAGACGGCAGAAGCUCUGCCACCAACAGACACCAGGCGUCCCCACCAAGACCGCACACUUGGAACACUGCCGAAUCCUGUGCGCCUUCCCGGCGAUUCCUGGAAACUCAGCUCGGAGGCGGGACUUCUGGGGGACCCUGCCACCCCUGACUCUGCCCCCACAGGCCUCCCUCCCUGCCCCUCUAGCUGCAGCCCCUCAGGACUGCAGGCGACACCCCUCUGCCUCCCUGCAGAAUCCACACUGUCGGGUCGAACCAGACUGAGCAUCUCCCAGCCCAGGCUCCCCGGGGCACCCAGCCCUGCCCCUGACACACGUCCUAAGAGCCAAGCACUUUCCAUGUGCCCUCAACAAAGAGAGUACAGAAGCUCGGAGAGGUCAGGUUACUGCCCGAAGAUCACCCAGCUAGAAGGUAGUGGAGAAAAGGUACAACCAAGAGUCUCUGAUUUCUCAGCUCAUUCGUGUUUGUUCUCAGUGUGAGUCAAAGGGGGCUUCCACCCAAGGUCUUUCCUUACUGAAGAUGCUUCCAGAUCUUUCCAAGGAGAGCUCAGUGCAUACGCAUUUCUCUUCCCUUCUCUCUGUGCAGUGUGAUCCAUUUUCCUCAUUAUGUCUUAGCCUAUUAAUAACCACCCAUUUGUCUUAAUUCAAUAAAAAGAUGAUUGAU
rnacentral:lncRNA from 1 species